UUUGAUUUUUUUUCCAGUACUGGGGAUCGAACUCAGGACCUUGCACUUGUGAGGCAGGCACAGUGCCACUGAGCUACAUCCUUGGCCCUGCUGUAAGUUUUUUGGACUGCACCCUUCUGAGGGGUCAGAUCUAG
rnacentral:lncRNA from 1 species